GACGAACGCUGGCGGCGUGCUUAACACAUGCAAGUCGUACGGUAAGGCCCUUUCGGGGGUACACGAGUGGCGAACGGGUGAGUAACACGUGAGUAACCUGCCCACAACUUUGGGAUAACGCUAGGAAACUGGUGCUAAUACUGGAUAUGUGCUCCUGCUGCAUGGUGGGGGUUGGAAAGCUCCGGCGGUUGUGGAUGGACUCGCGGCCUAUCAGCUUGUUGGUGGGGUAGUGGCCUACCAAGGCGGCGACGGGUAGCCGGCCUGAGAGGGUGACCGGCCACCAUGGGACUGGGAUACGGCCCAGACUCCCUCGGGAGGCAGCAGUGGGGAAUAUUGCACAAUGGGCGCAAGCCUGAUGCAGCAACGCCGCGUGCGGGAUGACGGCCUUCGGGUUGUAAACCGCUUUCAGCAGGGACGAAGCUUUUUGUGACGGUACCUGCAGAAGAAGCACCGGCUAACUACGUG
rnacentral:rRNA from 1 species